UACAGAGGGUGCGAGCGUUGUCCGGAAUCACUGAGCGUAAAGGGCGCGUAGGUGGUGGCUUAAGCGUGCGGUGAAAGCUCGGGGCUCAACUCCGAGUCGGCCGUGCGAACUGGGCUCACUGGAGCAUAGUAGAGGCAGGUGGAAUUCCGGGUGUAGCGGUGGAAUGCGUAGAUAUCGGGAGGAACACCUGUGGCGAAAGCGGCUCACUGGACCACAACUGACGCUGAGGCGCGAAAGCUAGGGGAGCAAACAGG
rnacentral:rRNA from 1 species